UGCAAUGCUCUGACUUCCCACUCUAGCUCUUAGCCCCAGUCUCCCUGUGAUGCUGUUUGGGUUUGGUGGACUGUCUCCCUGCCUGUUUGUAACAAAUCUGUUCUGAAGUUCUUCCAAGGAGGAAGUUAAGAGAUAUACCUCAUGGAAGUCAGAGGACAUACCUAAGAUCAUACUACAAAUUGUUUCUUCUUCCCCUUGAGAAAAACCAAUGACAUCAGAAGGAUGACUUACAAGUGAAGUGGAUUUAAUGAGGCAGGCUGGGCAAAGUCGCCACCUCAUUUUCUCGUUCAGACAGAAUUCGUGGGAACCCAGUGGAACAAGUGGUGAGUUUUACCUUUUGAAUGAAAUGGACCAUGACUGAGCAGGAAUUUGAAUUGCUCUUGACCCUGAAGACAGUCUUUCUAUCUACUUAACACAUUGAGACAAUUUUCUGAAACAAACAAAACAACCAUUUCUAGACCAGGAUGCUUUGUUGUUUAUUUAUCUCCAUUAAUUCAGUAACAUUUCGGGCAAGGGAUUUUGGGAAAAGACGAAGAUCAAAAAAAACCCAAAAAACUAAACUUUGCAAAUCCCAGUUCUAAGGAAACAAGAAUUAAUUAAAAUACUUGUGAAUUUUGCA